rnacentral:rRNA from 1 species
AGUGAACGCUGGCGGUAGGCCUAACACAUGCAAGUCGAACGGCAGCACCGUAAGAGCUUGCUCUUACGGGUGUCGAGUGGCGGACGGGUGAGGAAUACAUCGGAAUCUACUUUUUCGUGGGGGAUAACGUAGGGAAACUUACGCUAAUACCGCAUACGACCUACGGGUGAAAGCAGGGGAUCUUCGGACCUUGCGCGAUUGAAUGAGCCGAUGUCGGAUUAGCUAGUUGGCGGGGUAAAGGCCCACCAAGGCGACGAUCCGUAGCUGGUCUGAGAGGAUGAUCAGCCACACUGGAACUGAGACACGGUCCAGACUCCUACGGGAGGCAGCAGUGGGGAAUAUUGGACAAUGGGCGCAAGCCUGGUCCAGCCAUACCGCGUGGGUGAAGAAGGCCUUCGGGUUGUAAAGCCCUUUUGUUGGGAAAGAAAAGCAGCAGGUUAAUACCCCGCUGUUCUGACGGUACCCAAAGAAUAAGCACCGGCUAACUUCGUG